rnacentral:rRNA from 1 species
AUUGAACGCUGGCGGCAGGCCUAACACAUGCAAGUCGAACGAGCGGCGGACGGGUGAGUAAUGUCUGGGGAACUGCCCGAUGGAGGGGGAUAACUACUGGAAACGGUAGCUAAUACCGCAUACUGUCGGAUGUGCCCAGAUGGGAUUAGCUAGUAGGUGAGGUAAUGGCUUACCUAGGCGACGAUCCCUAGCUGGUCUGAGAGGAUGACCAGCCACACUGGAACUGAGACACGGUCCAGACUCCUACGGGAGGCAGCAGUGGGGAAUAUUGCACAAUGGGCGCAAGCCUGAUGCAGCCAUGCCGCGUGUAUGAAGAAGGCCUUCGGGUUGUAAAGUACUUUCAGCGGGGAGGCGUUACCCGCAGAAGAAGCACCGGCUAACUCCGUGCCAGCAGCCGCGGUAAUAC